rfam:Cavia porcellus supercont2_32 genomic scaffold, whole genome shotgun sequence.
GCCGGCCACACCUGUAGUCCCAGCUACUCGGGAGGCUGAGGUGGAGGAUCGCUUGAGUCCAGGAGUUCUGGGCUGUAGUGCUCUAUACCGAUCGGGUGUCCCCACUAAGUUCGGCAUCAAUAUGGUGACCUCCCGGGAGCGGGGGACCACCAGGUUGCCUAAGGAGGGGUGAGCCGGUCCAGGUCGGAAACGGAACAGGUCAAAACUCCCGUGCUGAUCAGUAGUGGGAUCGCGCCUGUGAAUAGCCACUGCACUCCAGCCUGGGCAAUAUAGUGAUUCCCUGUCUCUA